rnacentral:misc_RNA from 1 species
GAUGAAGAACGCAGUGAAAUGCGAUACGUAAUGUGAAUUGCAGAAUUCAGUGAAUCAUCGAGUCUUUGAACGCACAUUGCGCCCCCUGGUAUUCCGGUGGGCAUGCCUGUCCGAGCGUCAUUGCUGCCCUCAAGCACGGCUUGUGUGUUGGGCCUCCGUCCUCCUCCCGGGGGACGGGCCCGAAAGGCAGCGGCGGCACCGCGUCCGGUCCUCGAGCGUAUGGGGCUUCGUCACCCGCUCUUGUAGGCCCGGCCGGCGCUUGCCGACACAUCAAUCUUUUUUCCAGGUUGACCUCGGAUCAGGUAGGGAUACCCGCUGAACUUAAGCAUAUCAAUAAGCGGAGGA